rnacentral:rRNA from 1 species
GAUUGAACGCUGGCGGCAGGCCUAACACAUGCAAGUCGAGCGGUAGCACAGAGAGCUUGCUCUCGGGUGACGAGCGGCGGACGGGUGAGUAAUGUCUGGGAAACUGCCUGAUGGAGGGGGAUAACUACUGGAAACGGUAGCUAAUACCGCAUAAUGUCGCAAGACCAAAGUGGGGGACCUUCGGGCCUCAUGCCAUCAGAUGUGCCCAGAUGGGAUUAGCUAGUAGGUGGGGUAACGGCUCACCUAGGCGACGAUCCCUAGCUGGUCUGAGAGGAUGACCAGCCACACUGGAACUGAGACACGGUCCAGACUCCUACGGGAGGCAGCAGUGGGGAAUAUUGCACAAUGGGCGCAAGCCUGAUGCAGCCAUGCCGCGUGUGUGAAGAAGGCCUUCGGGUUGUAAAGCACUUUCAGCGGGGAGGAAGGCGUUAAGGUUAAUAACCUUGGCGAUUGACGUUACCCGCAGAAGAAGCACCGGCUAACUCCGUGCCAGCAGCCGCGGUAAUACGGAGGGUGCAAGCGUUAAUCGGAAUUACUGGGCGUAAAGCGCACGCAGGCGGUCUGUCAAGUCGGAUGUGAAAUCCCCGGGCUCAACCUGGGAACUGCAUUCGAAACUGGCAGGCUAGAGUCUUGUAGAGGGGGGUAGAAUUCCAGGUGUAGCGGUGAAAUGCGUAGAGAUCUGGAGGAAUACCGGUGGCGAAGGCGGCCCCCUGGACAAAGACUGACGCUCAGGUGCGAAAGCGUGGGGAGCAAACAGGAUUAGAUACCCUGGUAGUCCACGCCGUAAACGAUGUCGAUUUGGAGGUUGUGCCCUUGAGGCGUGGCUUCCGGAGCUAACGCGUUAAAUCGACCGCCUGGGGAGUACGGCCGCAAGGUUAAAACUCAAAUGAAUUGACGGGGGCCCGCACAAGCGGUGGAGCAUGUGGUUUAAUUCGAUGCAACGCGAAGAACCUUACCUGGUCUUGACAUCCACAGAACUUUCCAGAGAUGGAUUGGUGCCUUCGGGAACUGUGAGACAGGUGCUGCAUGGCUGUCGUCAGCUCGUGUUGUGAAAUGUUGGGUUAAGUCCCGCAACGAGCGCAACCCUUAUCCUUUGUUGCCAGCGGUUCGGCCGGGAACUCAAAGGAGACUGCCAGUGAUAAACUGGAGGAAGGUGGGGAUGACGUCAAGUCAUCAUGGCCCUUACGACCAGGGCUACACACGUGCUACAAUGGCAUAUACAAAGAGAAGCGACCUCGCGAGAGCAAGCGGACCUCAUAAAGUAUGUCGUAGUCCGGAUUGGAGUCUGCAACUCGACUCCAUGAAGUCGGAAUCGCUAGUAAUCGUAGAUCAGAAUGCUACGGUGAAUACGUUCCCGGGCCUUGUACACACCGCCCGUCACACCAUGGGAGUGGGUUGCAAAAGAAGUAGGUAGCUUAACCUUCGGGAGGGCGCUUACCACUUUGUGAUUCAUGACUGGGGUGAAGUCGUAACAAGG